UACGUAGGGUCCGAGCGUUGUCCGGAAUUACUGGGCGUAAAGAGCUCGUAGGUGGUUUGUCGCGUUGUCCGUGAAAACUCACAGCUCAACUGUGGGCGUGCGGGCGAUACGGGCAGACGUGGAGUACUGCAGGGGAGACUGGGAAUUCCUGGUGUAGCGGUGGAAUGCGCAGAUAUCAGGGAGGAACACCGGUGGGCGAAGGCGGUGGUCUGGGCCGGCACUGACGCUGAGGAGCGAAAGCGUGGGGAGCGAACAGG
rnacentral:rRNA from 1 species